rnacentral:rRNA from 1 species
UAACGCGUGGGUAACCUGCCUUNCACUGGGGGAUAACACUUAGAAAUAGGUGCUAAUACCGCAUAAGCGCACGAAGCCGCAUGGAUUUGUGUGAAAAACUCCGGUGGUGUAAGAUGGACCCGCGUCUGAUUAGCUUGUUGGCGGGGUAACGGCCCACCAAGGCGACGAUCAGUAGCCGGCCUGAGAGGGUGGACGGCCACAUUGGGACUGAGACACGGCCCAAACUCCUACGGGAGGCAGCAGUGGGGGAUAUUGGACAAUGGGGGGAACCCUGAUCCAGCGACGCCGCGUGAGUGAAGAAGUAUUUCGGUAUGUAAAGCUCUGUCAGCAGGGAAGAAAGAAAUGACGGUACCUGACCAAGAAGCCCCGGCUAACUACGUGCCAGCAGCCGCGGUAAUACGUAGGGGGCAAGCGUUAUCCGGAAUUACUGGGUGUAAAGGGAGCGUAGACGGUUAAGUAAGUCUGGAGUGAAAGGCCGGGGUCCAACCCCGGGACUGCUCUGGAAACUAUUCAACUUGAGUGCAGGAGAGGUAAGCGGAAUUCCUAGUGUAGCGGUGAAAUGCGUAGAUAUUAGGAGGAACACCAGUGGCGAAGGCGGCUUACUGGACUGUAACUGACGUUGAGGCUCGAAAGCGUGGGGAGCAAACAGGAUUAGAUACCCUGGUAGU